ACAGAAGGAAUUCGACGUGAGGCAUCAUGAACCAAAAAAUAGGUUUUCUGCUUGUAUUUGUUUUCCUAAUUGUAAUGACAGGGUAUUUUGUGGAACCAGUGAUUGGUUAUGAACCACCGGCGUGCACAAACUUACCACCGCGUCUAUGCAGUAGUAUGAAAUAUCGAAAUAUGUGUAAGAGCAAAUGUCCACAGUCAGGAUAAAUUCAAGUUUUUGACAAAUAAUGCUUCCAUCACAAUGAAGCCAUUAGUUCCACGUACAAUAAUUGUUAUUGAAAUUGUAAUCGAACGUUCAGUAAAAUAAAUACCAGUCAUAAAAUGCAA